UACGUAGGGCGCAAGCGUUGUCCGGAAUCAUUGGGCGUAAAGAGCUCGUGGGCGGCCUGUUGCGUCCGCUGUGAAAUCCCGGGGCUUAACCCCGGGCGUGCAGUGGAUACGGGCUGGCUGGAGGCAGGCAGGGGAGAACGGAAUUCCCGGUGUAGCGGUGAAAUGCGCAGAUAUCGGGAGGAACACCGGUGGCGAAGGUGGUUCUCUGGGCCUGUACUGACGCUGAGGAGCGAAAGCGUGGGGAGCGAACAGGAUUGAGAAACCCU
rnacentral:rRNA from 1 species